CUCGUUAAUAGGUAUAUUUAUAUUAACCACGCGAUAAUUUAAGUUUGCUGUUCGAUAAUACGCUGUUGCGGAAAAUGCUAAACUGAGUGCGGGACACGGUAGCGUUGUCGCGUGCGCGGUGGCGCGAACGCAGCGUCGAUCUUGUCGCGUGAAGUUGACCGCGCGGACACGAAGCCGCUUCUCGCCACCUUCAGUUGCAUUCACGUUUCUUUUACAGAACGCAACAGACGCGGAGUGGACGAGCUCCGGAACGAAGGCGUCAUCGUGGCUCGUUAACAGAACGCAGCGGAUGCAGGAUGAAUCGGAAUUGGAGAGAGCGGCGUCGCGACUCGUUUAAUAGAACGCGGCGUAUGUAGAAAAGAUCAAUUCCGGAAUGAAUGGCGUUACGAUUCAUCUAAUUAAUCAUAUAGUAUCGUAUGUACUACAAUUCUAUUAUUGCACAUCGAGGAAAUAUAAUUUGAAGAGAAGAUCUGAUAACUCGGAAAUAAAUUAAACUUAAAGGAGAUAUCGGGUUUCGGUGGACAAACUUUGCGAUUCAUCGUAGCGAUGUCUCUGUUAACGUCACUGUUGCGCAUUGAUUGCGAACUUAUUCUUUCCUUGUAUAAAAUUGAUGUACUCGUCAAUGAUUUAAAUAAACGAACCGCAACCGGUUCGUCGCGUCGCGCGUUUGUUCCGGGAGUGCCGUUUAAAGUAGUAAAACUUAAUUAGUCCACGCGCGGGCGCAAUUUUAGUGUAUUUAACGUGAGUGUUCCGCGAGUGCAACGGGCCGAGGAGGCUUGAUAAUCUGAUCUGAGAGGAGGAGGAGGUCUGGGAGAGGCAUCGAGCCCCAACGGAGCAAUCUUGAGUAUCAUCGUAGCUUCGUAGCUGACUCCGCUCCGUUGCGUAUCAGAUCUGUGAGUAAAAAAUCACAUUUUAUUUAUAAAAUUUUUUUUCUAAUUUUUAUAUUUUAUUUUUAUAUUUUAUUCUGAAUAUUUAAUUGGAAAAUAAUCAACGUUUCCGCGCUUAAGUUAUAAUAUAAAAAUAAAUUAUAUUUACUGUAUGUUGCUCCAUCGAUGCUUUACUAGGCCUUUUCCUCUCAUUGUCAUAUUGUUCGGAUUUUCAGUAUUAAAGACACAAUAUUUUUUUUAACACUUGCAAAAGCAAAUCAUGACGAUACUUUGCACUACAUUCUCAAAACCGAAACUAAAAGAUAUAAUAACGUAAGAUUUUAUUAACGAAAACAUUAACGAAAACACACUUCAGUAAAUGUUUAAUAAACAUAUGAUUUUCACCGGGGUCAGUACGCAUAAGCAGAUUUAAUAAUUUAAAUGAUACAAGAAUUCGUAAUGUUACGAGAAUUUGAUGCGGCGCAAGCAAGUCUCAUUAAAGUAUAAAAUCGUUGAAUUGAGACUGCGUGAGGCGCACGCUGCUAAACCGACGAACGAGCUGUUGAUUGCAAUGCAAGGUCAACGUUCGACAAGGCCACACUGCGACGCUCCAUUUAGGCCGCUCAAACCUGGUUUUUCAUUAUAUGGUUAACUUGUGGUUAAACUUAACUUGAUGUUUUAACCAAUGAGCUUCACCUAUAGCAUUAUCAUGGGUGAAGCUCAUUGGAUAAAACAUCAAGUUAAAUUUAACCAUAAGUUAACCGGAUAAUGAAAAACCGGGUCUUAGACGCUUUUCCCACUAUUCCCACUACUCACAUAAAAAAGGUACGUGCGUCUUGGCGGCUCGGCUAUCUCCGCCGCCGUUCGGCAAUCGUCGUUGAGCAGCUCUGCCGCUGCGCCGGCGCAACCGCGCUGCUAAGCAGCUGGUGCCACCAAGUAUCACCGUGAUUAUUAAAGCAUUUCCGUGUUUCUCGCGUAUUCCAAACCCGAUUUGUGUACAAAUACAGUCUUGAGAAUACCGAUAUGAUUGCGAACGAUACUAUUUUGAUACACAGUGAAUCGCAGUGUCACACGUAGAAGUGAACGUUCUCGAUCGUGAUCGCGAGUAUCGUGUGUGCUUGUUGGUUAGCUUCGUCAAGUUUGCGCGCGCAAACGUGUUUGCUGGAAUAAAAUAUUUUAGCCACGCAGUAAAAUAUCGCGAAUGUCAAGUGAAGCAUUACUAGUCGCGAUCAUAUUUAGUACAAGAUUUGUAAUCGGGAGUGAGUUUGUCUCGUUUCUAUCUGCAUCCAUUCAAACGACUCUCACCGCUGUUUCGGGUGACGUAACGCAUUGGCCGCUCAUUCCUCUUUCGCACUUAAUAGUGCCUGAGUUGAUACUCUCGUGUGCGUUUCGUCUUUUAUUCGCGUUCGUGAUCGUGUGUAAUAUAUUAUCAGCAUAAUAUCGAGAGUGCCAAAUUAGCUAGUCGUAUGUAAGGUUGAUAUGUGUAUGGUUUGAAACGAAAGGAGUUGUCAACAGAUUUCCAGCUAGAAAAUGGCAUCUGUGGGGCAAUUUGGUUAGAGUACCUCUAGUAAGGUACUAGAGGUACUCUAAAUUUGGUAAAUAUUUUAUUAAUUAUUGUAUUUAUGCGUUCUUGCAUAUAUGGUUGCGUACCAAAACUCAUUGCCAGUACUAAAAAUUUGUAGUAUUUGUGACAUAAACUAGAUUUUCACUGGUAGUGUAUAUUGGAGUGUAGCCUGUCAUAUUUUAUUAAUUGUAUUUCUGUGUUAAUUCUUGUAUAUGUAUUUUUGUAAUUAUAGUAUAAAGCCCUCUUUAGACAAGUUACUUAUUUAUUAAACUGAAUAUAAGAAAUUUCCUUGCUUAUAAUAGUUAAAUCUAUUAAUUAAACAUGCUUAUUCCAAUACAUUAGAAAAGAUUCUUUCUAAACUAAAAUGUUGCUUAACCCUUUCGUGCCUGACUUUCUUUAGGAAUAAUUAGCAUUUAAUGUCUUGCUAGACAUUUUUAAAGUCGCUGAUUAUAAAUUUAUAACCAAAAUUCAAAUUGGCAGAUCUAAUAUAGCAGAUUAAAAUAUUACUCAAAUCCAACAAAAUUUAAUAUUUUUAUCUGCCAUUGAAUUUUGAAAGUUUGAUUACAAAUGCCUAAUCAGACUCUAAAAACUUUGAAGCAGGUUUGGCAAAGUGUGACUUAAUUAUUGGUUGUUCUUCAGGAAUACGUUUGGAUUUUCUAUGGAAUAUCCCCUAGGUGUCAUUUUAUUCUUAUUGUUUACUAAAUGUUAGAUAAAAAUAAAAUGAUAUUUGGGGGCACUCAAGAAAGAAUUCGAACAUAUACCAGGAGGAUAACAGUUUACAAGCCACAGUUUGUCAGGCCUGCUUUAAAGCAUGAGUUCAUUAAAAUUCUUUAAAAAUUUUGGUCUGUCAUAUUGGAUCCAAUAUUUUGAAAGUAAAUAGCGAUUCUUUUUAUGAAUAGUCCUUACAUUGAUCUUCAAAAUAAGCCUGGAAAGAUGUCGUUAUCUUAAUUUUUGUGAAAAAGACAUGCGUUUUUCACUUUAAACCUAUUUUAUGAAUUUUUGACAAAGCAUACAGAUUAAGAGGGAAAACGCCUAAGAAUGUUGAUUUUUUUCAAGAGUUAUUCUUUAUGUUUAAAAUGAAUCCAGAAUGAAGUUGCUAUUUUCA